rnacentral:lncRNA from 1 species
CCGCAGGCUUUAUGCGAGAAUAUUAUCACUGAUUAAUGUUCUUAAGCUUCGUGCUUGUACUAUAUCCGAGCUCUAAAGACCCGAUGACUACGUGUGGGGAUUUUGUCCGGGUAAGACCCGAUAACUUCGUGUGGAGAUUAUGUCCGGGUAAGACUUCGUAAUAAGAAUUGCUUAUAAAUAUAUUCAAUGCGAAAGGUUAAACAGGUAUGUACUCCAAGUUUAUAUGUGAGCUUGAUUUGCACUAAAUCAUAAGGUAGUUAUGUGAUGCAUAGAGAGCAAUCUAUGAGACUAUUCCUAUGAUUACGUGACAUCGGAUCAGUGUGAGAGGUGAUGUGAAAUCAUACGAUAUAUCUAUGUCACAUGAGCUCACUUUUAUGUGAAAGUUUAUCUGCUUAUUGUAUAUGAUGAGAUGUGCAUAUUCGGUAAAGGGAUGGUAUGCCCGAAGGAAGAGUGAAAUAAAAAUACGAACAACUAUGUUAUAAUUUGAUUGUUAUCUGUUGACACUGCUUAAAACUUACUAAGCAUUGUAAUGCUUA